GUCUUAUUGAUUAUAAUUUUAAGUCUAAUCUGCCCAAUGAAUAAUUAAAUGGCUGCAGUAUAUUAACUGUACAAAGGUAGCAUAAUAAUUAGUUUCUUAAUUAGGAACUGGAAUGAAUGAUUGGACGAAAUAGUGACUGUCUUAGUUUAAAUUUUAGAAUUUUAUUUUUAAGUUAAAAAGCUUAAAUUUUUUUAAAAGACGAGAAGACCCUAUAGAAUUUUAUAUUAUUUGAAUAUUUUAUUGUUAGUAAUUAAAGAUAGAAUUUUUUAAUAGAUAUUUAGUUGGGGUGAUUGAAAAAUUUAAUAAACUUUUUUUAUUAUUAACAUUAAUAUAUGAUUAUUUGAUCCAGUUUUUUUGAUUAUAAGAUUAAAUUACCUUAGGGAUAACAGCGUAAUUUUUUUAGAGAGUUCUAAUCGAUAAAAGAGAUUGCGACCUCGAUGUUGGAUUAAAGUUUAUUUUUAAUGUAGAAGUUAAAAUGUUAGGUCUGUUCGACCUUUAAAACUUUACAUGAUCUGAGUUUAAACCGGUGUAAGCCAGGUUGGAUUCUAUCUUUAAUAAAAUUAAAUAUUUUAGUACGAAAGGACCAUAUAUUUAUUAUAGUAGUUUUAUUAGAA
rnacentral:rRNA from 1 species